GCAUAAGGUCAGGGGAUCUGACUGGCCUCUGCCACAUGUUGGCAACCUAUAGUUGAUUCUGUCUAACUGGAUGGCCUAAUGGUGCUCCCCUGGACCUCUUCACUCUAUUUUACCAAUCCCGCAGUAGAAAUGUUCAGUCUAGAGGAUGAGGCCUUUUCCAGAAAGGGGAAGAUCAUUCUUCAGUCAAGAAUAUGGGAAGCUCAAGGCUUCAGAUCUGAUAAAUUAAACUGUAAAUUGCCUGCUACUGAAAAAAGUAUCAGCUACAAUCAUGCAACCCCUGAGGAGAAACUUUUGAAGGGACCCUUCUGUGAGAAAUUUUCUGAGAGGAAACUUCCAAGGAAACUUGUCAAGAGGAACCCGAUGAGAGGAGCCUUGACCAGGGGGAGGAAACCACCGCCUCCUACCUUUAAUUCAUGUGGUUCAGAUGAAGCUGCCUUGACUUCUUGCCUCCAGGAGUAGACACUUGACUCAAGCCUGGCCAGAGAAGCAAGGACAGCGUGAGGACACCAAAUACAAGAACUUUCCCUUGCCUGACCACAUGAAGCUGCGUUGCUGUAAGACGGUCUGCGAGUUACGUCCUGCCGGCAUCCCAGAUGAGUAGAAGGAAGAGAUUCCUUGCUUAUUUUAUUUAAAACAUCUCCCCUCUAGGCAAA